rnacentral:rRNA from 1 species
UACGUAGGGCGCAAGCGUUAUCCGGAAUUAUUGGGCGUAAAGAGCUCGUAGGCGGUUUGUCGCGUCUGCCGUGAAAAGUCCGGGGCUCAACUCCGGAUCUGCGGUGGGUACGGGCAGACUAGAGUGAUGUAGGGGAGACUGGAAUUCCUGGUGUAGCGGUGAAAUGCGCAGAUAUCAGGAGGAACACCGAUGGCGAAGGCAGGUCUCUGGGCAUUAACUGACGCUGAGGAGCGAAAGCAUGGGGGAGCGAACAGG